rnacentral:rRNA from 1 species
GUGUAUGACCAUGCCACCCUGAACACAUCUGAUCCCAUCUGAUCUCAGAAGCUAAGCGGGGUCGGGCUUGGUUAGUACUUGGAUGGGAGACCACCUAGGAAGACCAGGUGCUAUAGACG